GGUAACUUAGUCUUUUAAUCGCUAUUAACGGAUCAUUUAUUUAUUCAUCUUUAGUCUAUUCUAAGAAGAGUUUAUUUUAUCUCCCCGUCACCCCAACAAAAUAAUUUUAAACUCACACUAAAAUCCUCCUAUACUAAUCCAAUUCCUUCAUUAUCAAGCUCUAUAGGGUCUUCUCGUCCUCUAAUUUCAUUUUAGCCUUUUCACUAAAAAGUUAAAUUUUAAGUUACUCCCCAUGAGACAGUCAACACCUCGUCCAACCAUUCAUACCAGCCUCUAAUUAAAAGACUAAUGAUUAUGCUACCUUUGCACGGUCAAAAUACCGCGGCCCUUUAAACUUCAGUGGGCAGGUUAGACCUUCUAUUUACACAAAAGGCGAUGUUUUUGAUAAACAGGCGAGCAUUAAUUUGCCGAAUUCCUUACCGAGACCUCUCUAAUACAUCACUUUUACAAUUCUUUAUACUAAUUUCAUCAUUAUUACUAAUUAUUACUCAUUUAUAAUUAUACUUUAAUGUACAAACUAAACUCUUUAAAAUUAAACUCUCUCUAAAUAAACUAUAACGUCAAUUCUCUAUUGGCUGAUUUCAAGCCUUCCAUUUCAGCCUUUAACUUCGUUAUAAGUAUAUUUUUAAGCUUAUCCCCCAAAAUAUUAAUGAACUUUAUUUAAAUCAAUUACCAUUAACCAACUUACUAAAUACAUCUGAAUUCAAUUCAUUUCUCAAAGAACUAGAAAUCUUUAAGAUCGUCUAACAUUUCAUUACUAAAACAAUCUAUUUAAUAAAUGUAACACUUUAACUAACCUAUUGUUUUAGCCCUCUUAAAAUCGAGAAAAUAAACUCUUUCACUUUAAUUAAUAAACCCUGAUACACAAGGUACAAUAUUAAAUCUUCUUCCUUUUAAUAACCUUUCAUCUCUUUCACUCUUCCUUCACAGUACUACCUUAUCACUUUACUUACAUUUUCUUUACCCAUUACUCCCCCCUAUUACAUUCAUAUUGAUUUACCUAUUUCAUUUAAUUAACUUCAUCUUUCCAUUACCUGUUCUUUCAAAAUAAGCCGAAUUGCACGACAACCUCUCAAUGUAACUGAAAUACUUUACUUAUCAAGCUCUA
rnacentral:rRNA from 1 species